GCGACAGGGGGAGGCGGUGUGUGCGGCUGUGAGGUGGGGCGCUUGCGUGCUGUGCGUAACAAAGCGUAUGUAUGUGGUGUAUAUAUGAAACAGAGAAUGUAAAUAUAUUCAAAAGCAAUGUUAUGUGCGUAGCUGUGCUCCGCAGAUAACUCGUUUAUUUGUUUUAUUAACAAACAUAAAUAUUUAUGCAUGUAUGUAUGCUUAUGUAUGUCAACUACAAACGUUUUUGUUGUUUAUACAUCAACAAUAUGUAUUCUUACACAGUAUAAACACGUGGAAAAAUGUAUAAACAUACAGAUGGUAUACAUAGAAUAUUAUGUAUAGUUCUGUACAAACAAUUAUACAAAGAGAUACAGAGAACAUUUAGAAAUGCUUCUGAUACAUUUUGUAUUUGCAUAUAAUGUCUUAUGUAGCUAUGUUUAUGCACGUAUGCUUUAUAUGUGCAUUAUGUUUCCAUACAUAAAGCUGUUUCUCUAAUGCUAUGUAAGUGAAUAUACAUAAAACACAAAUAUAUAAACCCAAUAUUAUGUAUGGCAAUAUGUAUAAAUUUAUGGAUGUAGCUCACUGGGUGCACACAUGGGCACUUCGUAACUGAGGCAUUCUGCACUGAGCUUUAACAGAUGCAGUCUUGCAUGCAGGCCCAGGCCGGUGGUGUAUUCUCAGCGCAGCUCAUUUUGUAUGUGUGGGAUGCUCUGUGCACAUAUUACAGCACAUGUGCCCUGUGCUCUGGCAUACUCAUCUCUACACAUCGAUUUCCCUAUGGCAUGGCAAUGGGAACGGCUUUGCUGCUGCAGCUAAGGGGUGAACUGAGUGCAGGCAAAAAUUGAAACUGAAGCAGGAGGGCUGAGUGCCCCUCCCUGCUUCUAGCCCUGCCAGUGCCCCCCCUUGAGGGGAAUAAAACAGCUUCCUUAGAGUGCCAGCUAUUUUUUUAUGUAGGGGGGGGAUAUCAUUAAGCCACGAGAAUGCUUAGAGCUGCUAAAUUAUUUUGGGUGAGUGUCCUGUGUGAUUGAGCAACCUCUGCUCUGAGAAGCGAGCUGGUUGCGAUAGAGCCCUCCAUCUGCAGGGGCUGAGCCAGCAGGGGGUGAGGCCACCUCCGCACAGGGUGACCCGCUCGGUGUCAGUGCCCUCAUCCUGCCCGCUCUGCAUCCAGAUGGGCAAGUUCAGGCAGAUCUAUGCCACUGAGAACAACUUCAUCCUUCUCAGGGGGCACUGCAGGUUGGGUUCAGUCUGCAGGAAAGGAUGUAGAGAGCAGUGGGUGCUAGGGAAGACAGACACAUGGACUGCUUUGUCCCAUCUCGUUUAAAAGCCAUCAUAGUGCGAGGCAAUAACCUGUACCAGGUAACUCAGGCACUGCAACUCUUCCUUUGGUCCUCUGCAGGAUGUUGGCAUGCAGGGGUUAGCAUCCUCCCUCUGGCUGCAGUGCAGCAGCUCUUGCAGGGACCUUUUCAGCAUGUUUGUCACUACUGGGGUUAUUGGCUCUGCAGAAACACAUCUGCAUGCAGCCAGCACAAGUGUGACCACACGUGUCCAUGUGCACUUGCACAGACAUCACAGAAUCAUGCAGAAUCACAGCACAGCUGAGGUUGGCAGGGACCUCGGGGCCCAUAUAACUCCCACCUGCUCAAGCAGGGACACCCUGAGCAAGGGGCCCAUGGCCACGUCCAGGUGGCUUUUGGAGACCUCCAGGGAGGAGACCCUGCAGCCUCCGGGCAACCCAUGCCACUACUUCAUCGCCUGCUCCAUCUUUGGAAGAAUCUCCUGUGUUCCAGUACUUCUUGUCUGGGCACUGGGCACCACUGCUAAGGGCCUGGCUCUGUACGCUGUGCACUCACCCUUGAGGUAUUCAUGCACAUUUAUGAGAUCUCUCUGAGUCUUCUUUUCUCCUGGCCAAACAGCCCUGGGUCCUUCAGCCUGUCCUCAUAGCAGAGGUUCUCCAAAAGCAGCUUCUCCAAAAACAUCAAAGCAGCCUCUUAUAUGUCCUCCUGGAGAUCGUGCCCUCCCCAGCCUUGAGAUGCCCCCCAGUUGUUGCUUAUUAUACGUUACAUUGGCAACAUGUGGCCGCACAGCCCCCAGCAGGGGCUCCUUGGGGUGGCACCUUGACUUGGCCCUGUGCGUACACUGUGUGUCAGCACCUAUAGACACCGUAGGACCAAGUUCACAGCAAGAGAUCAGCUCUGAGAGUGAAGGACGUUGCGUCAGGGCAGCGUGUGACAAAACCCAGCAGCAGUGUUUCACAGAAGUGCAGCAGGUGCUUCCCCGUUGGUUGUGACUCACUCGGGUUCACACAGGUAAGUGGGCUCAGGGUGAACUGUUGGUGUGGUAACCGUAUCGCGAGGGAAAGCCAGGAACUCUCCUUCAGAGCAAACGCUGGGCAGGGAUGUGAAGUUAGGUUAGGAAGAAUGAGGGGCUUGUGGCUUACAGGUGAGAGCAUGUGUUACGAGAUCCUGCCCACACCACAGGGUAAGGCUGCUUCCACCAUCCAAUGGGAAAGGUGAGGAACCCAUGCGCUGCCUGCCCAGGUGGGCAGAACGCAGGCGCAGCAGUGACACCCAUGUUGCCUGCCAGCACAUGCACCUCUUCUCAUCUUUAAAGCAUUACUUGGUGGGAAUUAAUCCUCAUACCAGGCAAGCGAGUCUUAUGACACCUCACUCCACAAAGAAAAAGAGCGAACAACAUGAUGAAGGCCCAUCAAAGGGUCAGUGAGGUCACAGCUGCAAUGAAGUCACUGCAGUUCCUGCCUGCCUGUCCCGUGAGCACUGCACCACGUGUACUCAUCAGCAGCCUGAAGAAAGCAGCUGUUUCCAUUGCGUGAAGGCAGGACAGUUUCCAAAGGUGGCCACAGGCAAGGUCUGGGAAGGUGCCAGGGGACGGCAGCCCUGCCCAUUGGGCAUGCUGCCCACUCUGAGCUUCUCUUUGAUGUGACAGGGGGGAACCUGAAGGCAGUGGGAGCCCAGCCAUUAGAAGAUUCUGUACGAAGUGAAGUGGCCCAGAGGCAGCCCAGGCGUGAUACUCUCUAAGGUGUUUUCCAUCAGUCCACAGAUGGUAGCUACAAGGACAGGGCAUAAUGUUGCAACAGGAUAAAUGAAGUCAGAGGGAGUAUAAGUCCAUUUUCAUUUGAUUGUAGUUUCCAGUUUUUUUCAAUCUUAGUUGGCAAAGAGGCAGUCUUCCUCUUGUAAAGCAGAAGGAAGAUCUAAGCAAUACAAGACCUAUCUUUAAAAUAUACAUACCAAGUGGCUUGAUGUUUGUUUUGAAGUAUAUUUAAAAUUCUGUAGGAAAAUUGAUUAUCUUUCUGCUUUGAGGG